rnacentral:rRNA from 1 species
AUUGAACGCUGGCGGCAGGCCUAACACAUGCAAGUCGAGCGAGCGGCGGACGGGUGAGUAAUGUAUGGGGACUGCCCGAUAGAGGGGGAUAACUCCUGGAAACGGUGGCUAAUACCGCAUACUAUCGGAUAACCCAUAUGGGAUUAGCUAGUAGGUAAGGUAAUGGCUGACCUAGGCGACGAUCCCUAGCGGGUCUGAGAGGAUGAUCAGCCACACUGGAACUGAGACACGGCCCAGACGCCUACGGAGGCAGCAGUGGGGAAUAUUGCACAAUGGGCGCAAGCCUGAUACAGCCAUGCCGCGUGUAUGAAGAAGGCCCUCGGGUUGUAAAGUACUUUCAGUCGGGAGGCGUUACCGACAGAAGAAGCACCGGCUAACUCCGUGCCAGCAGCCGCGGUAAUAC